rnacentral:rRNA from 1 species
GAUGAACGCUGGCGGCGUGCCUAAUACAUGCAAGUCGAGCGAACAGACGAGGAGCUUGCUCCUCUGACGUUAGCGGCGGACGGGUGAGUAACACGUGGAUAACCUACCUAUAAGACUGGGAUAACUUCGGGAAACCGGAGCUAAUACCGGAUAAUAUAUUGAACCGCAUGGUUCAAUAGUGAAAGACGGUUUUGCUGUCACUUAUAGAUGGAUCCGCGCCGCAUUAGCUAGUUGGUAAGGUAACGGCUUACCAAGGCAACGAUGCGUAGCCGACCUGAGAGGGUGAUCGGCCACACUGGAACUGAGACACGGUCCAGACUCCUACGGGAGGCAGCAGUAGGGAAUCUUCCGCAAUGGGCGAAAGCUUGACGGAGCAACGCCGCGGGAGUGAUGAAGGUCUUCGGACCGUAAAACUCUGUUAUUAGGGAAGAACAAAUGUGUAAGUAACUAUGCACGUCUUGACGGUACCUAAUCAGAAAGCCACGGCUAACUACGG